CGUCACACUAUAAAAAGAGCCUCCUGAAUAUCAGUGGGGGAAUGCUUCCAAGGAGUAGAGUUUAAUGCAGGGGGAAAGCCCUAGCAUUCACCUACCUACUCAAAUCUUGAGGCUUCAAGCAUUUGUCAUCAGGAUGACUCAACAAAAGAGCCCUGCAUCCUUAUGAGGGGCCUUGGAAUCUACAGCCCUCUGGUAGAUGGUAAUAACCACCUUCCGGAUAAACCCUGGAGUAGGACUACUCUGGAAGGGGAGAGACUUUGAAGGGACCUGGCUGGAAGGCCAAGGCACAAGGGAGAGGUGGUCCACUGCAGAGGUAGAGCGGCCGCUGGCGGCAGAUCAGUGGAGAGAGAGCUGCUAUGCCAUACCCGGCCAGAAAGAGCCACCAACAGUGAGUCAACCCCUUCAUAACUCCUAUCAGUAGGAAGCUGCUGAUCCCAUUAUCACAAGGAAACGAGUGAGCCCAUCGGGGCUAGCUGGAAAACAAAAAUUUUGUGUUAUGAUGGACUUCAAGGUGUCAACAUUUUGUUUUCAUUCCACCUCAGAACAAUAACUAGACCUUUUGAAAUUUUUCAUCAAGAGAGAGUGAGAAAGAGAACCAUCUGAAAAUAGCCAAGGUCACUCAGUUGGUGGAGGGACUUGAACGUGAGUCUCUUAUGUACCAAGAGAAUACAUGUAACUCCUGGGCUAUUGGCUAGUCUAAGGUAUCAAUCUCUUGUUUUCACCAGAAAUUCCAUCCUGGAUCUAAGACCUUCCUCACAAAUAUUUUGUUGAAACUGAUAUAGCUCUGAAAAAAGUUUCGGUUUUGCUGAAACUACUUUGGUGCAGUGCCAAAACAUUUUGUUGUUAAAUUCCCCACUGGCUCUAGUACCCAUUUCAGAGACAAAAUUAAAUGCAGCUUUUAUGAGCAUUCCAGAAAGCUUUCCCUACUCUUCAGGGACAUUUUAAAAACUGAAAGGUACUGCAGUUUUUCCCUUUGUUCUCAAGAAAGUCAAGCUGCUUGAACUUCUUGAUGUCUCUGGCAAAUUUUCAGAGGAGCAAGGAAAGGGGGGUGGAGAAUUAGGGCCAAAUGAAAGUUUAAUAAACUCCCAAGGGGGAUGGGGCGAAAUGAUAAUGCAAUUACUGCUGAUAAAAUUUUGAGAGAGAGAAAUUAGUACAUAAUCUUGGAAUCUUUAAUUAUUGGCAUGUUAAUUACACAAAGCUAUCCUCUUCUAAUGAAAGGAAGAACAAAUAUGAGAAGUGUUGUUCCAUUUAAUCCAGAAAAUGAGUAUUGGAAGCCAAAAAUUCUGAUUUUACCCUUGUGUAAAUCUGGAAGAACUCCACUGAAGUUAGCAGAGUUACCAUUGAUUUACAUCAGAGUAACUAACAACAGAUAGCAAAAAUGCAAUGCUGUAACAGCCUCAGAAGUAACGUCUGAUGCAUCUCCCUGGGAAGCAGAAGUGAGCACAGAGGUGGGAGAGGUUGAUUCCCUUCAUCCCGUGCCAGAAGUAAAGAAGAAUGCUGACUAAUGUACAAUUUAACUAGUGCCUUUUCCUUUUGUUUGUUUCAUUGUCUCCUUUCUGCACUGGAGCAGGAGAGGGCUUUGUUUCCUUGUCACACUGUACAGAUGUUGUUACCUUUCUGUUAAUUGGAAACUAGAGGUAAUUAUGGGGAUGAGGCCGUUUCAGUGAUUUUUUUAGUAAUGUAUACAAAACAUGCUAGUGUACACUUCACUCAGACACAAAUUAGGCUGCUAAUUAGACUGCUGUUCAACCAGACAGGUCUGGUUACACUUAACCUGUUUACAAAGGCACAGAAAUUAGAACUGACUGCAGAAAUAGUGUACUUCACCUUUAGAAAUGACUGCGACACAGUG